CACGUAGGCGGACUCUUAAGUCAGGGGUGAAAUCCUGGAGCUCAACUCCAGAACUGCCUUUGAUACUGGGAGUCUCGAGUUCGGGAGAGGUGAGUGGAACUGCGAGUGUAGAGGUGAAAUUCGUAGAUAUUCGCAAGAACACCAGUGGCGAAGGCGGCUCACUGGCCCGAUACUGACGCUGAGGUGCGAAAGCGUGGGGAGCAAACA
rnacentral:rRNA from 1 species